rnacentral:tRNA from 1 species
GUAGGCAGAGCUCAAUGGUAGAGCAAAUGCUUAGCAUGCCUGAGGUCCUGGGUUCAAUCCCCAGCCUCUCCA